CUAAUCAUUCAUGUAUUCGAUCACCCACAGUCCUACACGUCACAGUGACGCCGCCGCGCCGUACCGGACCGGACCGCCCUCGCGACCCUCUUCGGCUGGCUGCGGGGGUCUUUUCCGGAUGCUCAUCCAAAAUCCGGCGACCUGCAGUGAUCUACAACAGUACCCAAAAACAUUUUUCCCUGUUCGACAGUGGGAAGGAAAGGAAACAAGAAUGUCCCCCCUAAAUUGGUAGAGACACUCGAGGAUGGUGAGUCUGAUCCAAAACACUGCCUUUCACCAGUUUAAACAGUGAAUAAAAGUACAAUUUUGAUCCUUUUUAUUUGGACGAAUCCCAUUUUUGCUUCCCUAAAGGAGUUUCAGAACAAAAUGAAUUGAAAUACUGAAAUAUUUCGAUAGUAGUAACUUCUACAGAGAAACAAAUUAGCUACUUUGGUCUUUCUAUUGGAAGCCAAAGCAAGUAGCUACUUAUUAUCGAAUAUAAGGGUCAUACUUUGAUCAUUGUGGUUGCACAUUACUUAAAAUGACAACAACAAGAUGCUUCAGUAAGUCACUGUGAUAUUCUUCUCAUUUUAAUCUUGUUCAUAUGUAGAGAAACUCAUAUUUGGUAUGAGACUACUUUGGUCUUUCUAUCGGAAGCUGAAACAAUUAGCUGCUUAUUUGAGACUUGAAUUAUCAAAUAUAAAGGUCAUGCUUUGAUCAUUAUGGUUGCACACUACUUAAAUGACAACAAUAAGAUGCUUCAGUGAGUCACUGUGAUAUUCUUCUCAUUUUUAUCUUGUUCAUAUGUAGAGAAACUCUUAUUUGGUAUGAUACUGCUUUGGUCUUUCUAUGGGAAGCCGAAACAAGUAGCUACUUAUUUGAGACUGGAAUUAUCGAAUAUAAGGGUCAUACUUUGAUCGUUGUGGUUUCAUUUUACUUAAAAUGACAACAACAAGAUGCUUCAGUAAGUCACUGUGAUAUUCCUCUCAUUUUAAUCUUGUUCAUAUGUAGAGUAACUCUUAUUUGGUAUGAGACCACUUUGUUCUUUCUAUCGGAAGCUGAAACAAUUAGCUGCUUAUUUGAGACUUGAAUUAUCAAAUAUAAAGGUCAUACUUUGAUCAUUAUGGUUGCACAUUACUUAAAUGACAACAACAAGAUGCUUCAGUAAGUCACUGUGAUAUUCUUCUCUUUUUAAUCUUGCUCAUAUGUAGAGAAACUCUUAUUUGGUAUGAGACUAGUUUGGUCUUUCUAUCAGAAGGCGAAACAAGUAGCUACUUAUUUGAGACUUGAAUUAUCAAAUAUAAGGGCCAUACUUUUAUCAUUGUGGUUACACAGUACUUCAACGACAACAACAAGAUGCCUCAGUAAGUCACUGUGAUAUUCUUCUCAUUUUAAUCUUGUUCAUAUGUAGAGAAACUCUUAGUUGGUAUGAGACUACUUUGGUCUUUCUAUGGAAGCUGAAACAAUUAGCUACUUAUUUGAGACUUGAAUUAUCAAAUAUAAGGGUCAUACUUUGAUCAUUAUGGUUGCACACUACUUAAAUGACAACAACAAGGUGCUUCGGUGAGUCACUGUGAUAUUCUUCUCAUUUUAAUCUUGUUCAUAUGUUGAGAAUCUCUUAUUUGGUAUGAGACUACUUUGGUCUUUCUAUCGGAAGCUGAAACAAUUAGCUACUUAUUUGAGACUUGAAUUAUCAAAUAUAAGGGUCAUACUUUGAUCAUUAUUGUUGCACAUUACUUAAAUGAAGCCAACAAGAUGCCUCAGUAGGUCACUGUGAUAUUCUUCUCUUUUUAAUCUUGUUCAUAUGGAGAGAAACUCAUAUUUGGUAUGUGAGAGUUGGUUUCAUGAUCCAUCCGAAAGCAAGUAGCUAUUACGUUUGGCACAGGAUAUGUGAUGAACUGUGCAAUGAAUUCUGCUCUAGUUGGGAAGGUCUGUACAAAUUAAAGUCGGUAUUACCACAUUAAUAUGAGUUAUGCAUUUCCAAAUAUGUGUUCAGAUUGUCCUAUGGGUUCUUAUUCACUGUGUCUCAAUUCUUCAUGCUCCUAAACAGGGAGGAAAAUUGCCUUUUGGAUUCCUUGAUUUUCCAACACAAGGAUCUGGUGCAACAGUCCAGAUUUUUCCAACACAACAUUGGGAGAGGCGAAGGAAAUUGCUGAGGGAGAGCCUCCGCCUGAAAAGGAUACUUGUUAUUUGUCGAGCAGAUGUAUAGCACGCAAGGGAAGCUUUUGCAAACUUCCGGGAACAUGCGUAUCUGCAAGAAAUACAAGAAUGCCAGGUGGACAGGGUGGUCAGGCAGAAACAACAAGGUGGGGGGGGGGGAGGGGAAGGAAGAAAACAACAAGCACUUCAGAGAAUAUAUGGAGAAGCAGAGGAAGGCCACUAAAAUAGUCAGUGGUUGGAGGUGCGUGAGAUGCAUCAGAAGGAGGAAGAUGGCAUGGCUGUUGCCUGUGGCCCACAGUAUCAGCUCUGUGACCUCAAACAUCUUAUCAUGUCAUUCUUUUUUGUUCCUUCUUGAUAGGAUGGAUCAGUGUGGGCUAUCAUGUGGGAUGCCACAUGCAAACUGCUGACACCCAAAAGCAUCGAGAGGGGGGAAAAGAGGACGUGAAUCUUUUCUUCUUGUUGGCAUGCACUGCAUGUGUACAUUCCAACGUUGUUAUAAAUAAUGUUAAAGAAUAUGCAUGAUCAUGUAAACUACGAUGCCCCCCCACCCCCCAGCAGCAGUGUUUGAAGAUUAGACAACUCGGAGACAUGCAUUGAAAGCUAGGAUGCAUCCCAUGUUUUGAUUCCAAGAUGUUUGUUUGAAUCUUUUUCUAUCACUUUAUCAUAUAUGGAUGAUCUGAUGGUAA